ACCCGCUGAACUUAAGCAUAUCAAUAAGCGGAGGAAAAGAAACCAACAGGGAUUGCCCUAGUAACGGCGAGUGAAGCGGCGACAGCUCAAAUUUGAAAUCUGGCGUCUUUGGCGUCCGAGUUGUAAUUUGCAGAGGGCGCUUUGGCAUUGGCAGCGGUCCAAGUUCCUUGGAACAGGACGUCACAGAGGGUGAGAAUCCCGUACGUGGUCGCUAGCCUUUACCGUGUAAAGCCCCUUCGACGAGUCGAGUUGUUUGGGAAUGCAGCUCUAAAUGGGAGGUAAAUUUCUUCUAAAGCUAAAUACUGGCCAGAGACCGAUAGCGCACAAGUAGAGUGAUCGAAAGAUGAAAAGCACUUUGGAAAGAGAGUUAAAAAGCACGUGAAAUUGUUGAAAGGGAAGCGCUUGCAGCCAGACUUGCCUGUAGUUGCUCAUCCGGGUUUCUACCCGGUGCACUCUUCUAUAGGCAGGCCAGCAUCAGUUUGGGCGGUUGGAUAAAGGUCUCUGUCAUGUACCUCUCUUCGGGGAGAACUUAUAGGGGAGACGACAUGCAACCAGCCUGGACUGAGGUCCGCGCAUCUGCUAGGAUGCUGGCGUAAUGGCUGU
rnacentral:rRNA from 1 species